GACGAACGCUGGCGGCGUGCUUAACACAUGCAAGUCGAGCGGUAAGGCCCUUUCGGGGGUACGACGAGCGGCGAACGGGUGAGUAACACGUGGGUGACCUGCCUUUAGUCUCUGGGAUAAGCCUGGGAAACUAGGGUCUAAUACCGGAUAUGACUCCGCGGUGCAUGCUGUGGGGUGGAAAGCCUUGUGCGGCUGGAGAUGGGCCCGCGGCCUAUCAGCUUGUUGGUGGGGUGAUGGCCUACCAAGGCGACGACGGGUAGCCGGCCUGAGAGGGCGACCGGCCACACUGGGACUGAAACACGGCCCAGACUCCUACGGGAGGGCAGCAGUGGGGAAUCUUGCGCAAUGGGCGAAAGCCUGACGCAGCGACGCCGCGUGAGGGAUGACGGCCUCGUU
rnacentral:rRNA from 1 species